rnacentral:rRNA from 1 species
CCUACGGGAGGCAGCAGUGAGGAAUAUUGGUCAAUGGGCGCGAGCCUGAACCAGCCAAGUAGCGUGAGGGAUGACUGCCCUACGGGUUGUAAACUUCUUUUAUAGGGGAGUAAAGUGAGUCACGUGUGCCUUUUUGUGUGUACUUUAUGAAUAAGCAUCGGCUCACGCCGUGCCAGCAGCCGCGGUCAUACGUAGGAUCCGAGCGUUAUCCGGAGUGACUGGGGGUAAAGAGUGGCGUAGGGGGGGUAAUAGGUAGGUAGUGAAAUCUGGUGGCUAAACCAUGCAUACUGUUAGCGAAACUGGUAAGCUUGAGAGCGGUAGGGGUAACUGGAAUGUCUAGUGUAGGAGUGAAAUCCGUAGAUAUCAGAAGGAACACCGAUAGCGUAGGCAGGUUACUGGGACGGUUCUGACACUAAGGCACGAAAGCGUAGGGAGCAAACGGGAUUAGAUACCCGUGUAGUC